rnacentral:lncRNA from 1 species
AACUUUCCAUAUUUUCUCCGUUAACGUGUGCAUUGUUUUUCUAUCGAAUAACUUCCUGGUUUGAAACAAAAUUGUCACACCGGUUUAAUAGAACAAACAGAUGUGAUAUAGCAUUAUAACAGGUAUGUCUAAAUCAAAAUUUAUCAAUAGUGUAAAGAAGAUCAAGAGUAAGACUGGUUUCUUUUUCAAAUCUUCUUUUUGUAACGGUAAAUUGAUAUAAAUAGCCUCGAUAUUAAUCUUAACAUGUGGCGGUGAACAGUAAAAUUUAUAUUACUUCAUCAGUUCCUGAUGUGUAAUUUUAAAAAAUUUAUAUCUUUAAUUAAGUUCUUUCAUUUAUUUUUGCUAGAUCAUAUAUUUCUCAAACAAACAAAAAAAUUAUUUCAACAAUUUGAAAGCUUUUUCUAGGAAACAAUUACAAUGUGUAGUCUUACAUUUUGCCUGUAAUUUGUAACUAUACAUAAAUUCUGCUUUAAAUACAGCAUAAACAUUUAUAGCUUCUGUUUUCUGUUCAGACAUGUAGUAAGCUUUAUAUAUACAAAACAUUAUUAAUGUAAUCAAAUAAUUUAUUUCAUAAUAUUGUUCAUCAUUAAUUUUAUAACCAAAUACUAGAUUUUUCAAUGUUAGAAUAUUAUUAUCAAUAUUCAGUUUUCCAAAAAGAUUUUUAAUUUUACUAAAGAAGUCAUCAAGAAAAUGACAUUUCAGAAACAUGUGAUCAUAAUCUUCAGUGGUAUUGCAAAAAUUACAAUUUGAAGUAUUGCAGAUAUUCCACUGUUUUAAUAAAGUUUUACAAGGUAGAAUAAAGUGUAACAAUUUCCAACGAAACACUUUAUACUUAUUUUCUUUCAAAAUAAUGUGAACAAAUUUCAAUAUAUUACAGACUGAACUCUUAAUAUACUCAAUAUUUAACACUGUUUUCCAUCGGUUAAAACCAACAGGAAUUUGAAUCUCAUUCUGAAUGAAUGUGUUAUAAAUUUUUUUUGUUUCUAACUUGUCUAAUGUUUCUGUAUAAUUACAAUUUCUCUUAAUAAAUAAAACAUAAUCUGUUUUUACUUGAGUUUUCUUUGAAUUUUCUUGUCUUAAAAUGUUUAUCCAUUCUUUUGGUAAAGCUUUCUUCAAUUGAGAAAAUUCUGACAACCAAUUACAUUUAAUAUUGAGUUUUUGUAAAAUAUAUUUCUCUGAUAUGUUACCAUUUUCAUCUAUAAUGUCAUUUACAUAUAUGAUUUUGCUAUUUAUCCAGUUUUGAAAUAUAAGGCUUUUUUUUUUUAAUCUUGAUAAAUUGAUUUCCCCAGAUUACUUGUUGUCGAAUAGUUCUAAAGUUUUCUGGUUGCUCUAUUUUUUUGUUUUUUACCCAUGCUUUUAAUAUAUUCAAAUAAAAUUCUGGCAGCUUAUUUAAACCAGGAAUUGAGUUAAUACCAUCAAUGUUCAUAUGAAAGAUAAGGAAAUUCUUGCCAAAUUUAUUAAAAUAAAAUAAUGGUAUUACUUUCCAGUUGGCAAAAUCUCCAUAUAUUAAUCUUUUAAUCCACCCAAUUUUUAAAGAUUCUAUGUAUUUAUCUAUGUCAAUCAUUUUUAAACCACCAUCUAGCAAUUCAUAGCUUAAUACAUUACGUUUAACUUUUUCUGUUUUGCUUUUCCAUAAGAAUUGAAAUACAAUUUUUUUAAAUUUAUCAAUAUAUUCUUUUUCUAUGUGAGAAACAGAUGCUAAAAAAGUAAUAUUGGGUAGAAUCAGUGAUUUAAUAACUGUUAUUUUUCCCAAUAAGGUUAGAUUUCUUUUCUCCCAGUUUUUAAUUAUCUUCUCAGAUUUUUCUAAUUGUUUUUCAGCAUUGAGCUUUUGACAAUCAUUUUUAUUACAACCAAAAAAAACUCCUAAACAUUUUACUGGUUUGUUUGUAAAGUUAAUGUUUUCAUAUUUUUCUUUACAAUGUUUGUGUUUUCCUAACCAUAUGCCUUCUGUUUUUGAUCUGUUUAAUUUAAGUCCUGAUAAUGUGCCAAAGAUUUCAAUCAUAUUUAAAACUUUUGAAAUGUCUUUUUGUGAUUUUAGAAAAAGUGUUGUAUCGUCUGCAAGUUGGCUGACUUUUAAUGAAUGUGUUUUCCCAUCUAUCUUAAUUUCAAAGCCUUUAAUGUUAUGGUCUUGCCUUAUGUUACAGGCUAAUAUCUCUACUGCAAUAACAAAAAUUAAUGCACUGCACGGACACCCUUGUCGUAUUACCGCGUUGAAUGUUUAUGGGUUCAGAUAUCCAUCCAUUAUUUAUUACUGAGCUUUUUAUAUCUGUAUAUAAAGUUUUAAUCCAUUUAAGCAUAGAGUUUUGGAAUCCAAAUUUUUUUAAAGCUGAAAACAUAAAAUCCCAUUCUAAAGAGUCAAAUGCUUUAGAGAAAUCUAAAAAAAGUAGUGCCCCCUCUAUGUUAAAUCUUUCUGCAUAAUCAAUUAUAUCUUGGAUUUGUCUAAUAUUAUAACCUAUAUAUCUAUUUUUAACAUACCCAUUUUGAUCCUUAUGUAUAAUAUUUGGAAGUAUAUUUUUAAUGCGUUGAGCCAAUGAAUAUGCAAUUAAUUUUGUAUCAAUAUUUAAUAAAGUUAUGGGUCUAUAAUUAUUUAAGCAAAGUGGAUCAUUCUUUUUAUGUAUUAGAGAAAUAACUCCUAGUUUUUGAGAACUUGUUAACUCCCCUUUUUUAUAUGAAUAAUUAAAUGUAGAUACAGCAAAUUCUUUUAAAUCAUUCCAAAAAGUCCUAUAGAACUCAACACUAAGUCCAUCAAUUCCAGGUGAUUUAUUAAGUUUCAUCUUGAAUAACGAACUAGUACAUUCUUCAAUGGUUAACGUACCUUCCAUUAUCUCACUCUCUUGUUUAUUUAAUUUAUGAUCAAUAUUUAUAUCAUUAAUAUAUUUAUCUAUGGAUUUUACAUUUGGACAUGUGCUAUUAUAAAAUAUUUGAUAGAAAUUCUUUUUCUAUUUGUAAAAUUUUAGAAGACUCUGUAUGUAUAUCUCCUUUUUCAUCUUUUAAAGCAGUUAUAGUCUUUCUGGUCUGUCUAGCUUUUUCUAGUCCCAAAAAAAUUUAGUAUUUUUCUCUCCUUCUUCUACCCAUUUAAUCCUUGACCUUAUUUGAGCUCCUUUACUUUUUAUUUCAUAAAUUUUUCUUAGUUUACAUUCAUUAUAAGUUAAUUCUUCUUGAUAAUGUUUAAUAACAUCAUCUUUACAGUUUCUGUUUAUAUUUUCAUUUAAUUUUUUUAUCUUAUUUUCCAAUAUAUGUAUUUCACUUUUAUUUUUAUUUGCAUUUCUUUUACAGUAUGCAACAGUAUGUUCUCGAACUUCAAUUUUGAACAGAUCCCAUUGAUGGCCUAUUUUAUCAGUAAGUUUUGUUUUAUUUUUAUAUUUCAUGAUAAGACCUUUUAUUAUAUUUUUAUACUCUGUAUUAUCUAAGAUACUGUUAUUAAUUUUAAAAUAACCUUUCCCUUUUGAUUGUGAUCUCCCUUUUACCUUUAAAGAUAUAGCUUGGUGAUCUGUAUGUGAAAUAAGUGCAGGUCUUAUAUCUGUUGAAUAAAUAUGUGACCUUAUUUCUGGACAAACAAGAAAGUAGUCUAUGCGUGAAGCUUCGUUUAUCUUAUUUUUCCGUCUCCAUGUAAAUUGUAUAUUAUUUCUAUGUAUGUCUCUCCAAAUAUCUAUCAGUUUGUGUGUUUUGAUUAACCCCUUUAAACUGUUGACUGGUUUUUGUUUUCUUUUAUUAUUUCUGUUGUUUUUUUUGUUGUCAAUAUUAGAUAAUGUAUCAUUCAUAUCUCCCCCUACUAUGACCAUACCUAAACUGUUUUUCUGUAUCAUGUCAUUUACUUUUUUGAAGAAAACAUUCCUAUUUUUAGGUAGAUUUGGUGCAUAAAUAUUAACUAGAGUAUAUAUACUUUCUGAAAUUUCUAUGUUAAUCAAAAUUAUGCGCCCCUCCUCAUCUUGAAAUUUAUCAAUUAAUUGAUAAUCAGUGUGAUCACUUAUAAAAAUAGAUACCCCUCUUGAUUGAGAAUUUCCAUAACUGUGGUAUGUAUCACCUUUGAAUUCAUUUUUAAAUUUUUCCUCUAAAGUAGAAGUAAAAUGACUCUCUUGUACAAAUAAAAUAUUACAAUUCUGAUACUUCAUCCACAUAUGAAGCCUUUGUCUUUUAUCUUUUGAACCAAGACCUUGGCAGUUUAAUGAACAUAUAUGUAUUGUUUCACUCAUUGUUUACCAUAGAUUUCUAGUUAAAAAAAGUAAAGUUUCUUAUAUAUAAUAUAACCAUAAUUUGUUUACAACAUGGUAUAUACAGCUAGUAUUAAUAUUAAUAUACACAUUGUACAUAACAUUGCCAAUAGUGCUUACAAUAAUAUUGCAAAUAAUCAUUUUAACAUUUAUAGUAUGAUAACUACAUUGUUUACUUUUUAUUUCAUUGUCUAUUUUCAGACCGCAUAUGGCCUUGACAUUACUCAGACACUGACCCAGAUUCUGAUUAGCAAAUUGAAGUGGUAUGUCUGAACACCAGAUGUUAUUAAAAGAAAAGUUAAACAAUUUCAGUGAUGGUUUUGUGAUAUACCAUAUUCCAAAUAUUAGCCAGAAUAGAAAUAUAUCAUUAUUGGAUUUACCUGUGAAUGUUAAAAAAACGUGGAUGGCUAUACAUUUAGUGACAUGUUCUAAAAAUAGAUUUGGAUUUUCCUUUUCUAUACAUUGAAAACAAGUGUGAAGAAUAUUACCACUCUGGAUUAUAAACGUGGCA